rnacentral:rRNA from 1 species
GACGAACGCUGGCGGCGUGCUUAACACAUGCAAGUCGAACGGAAAGGCCCUGCUUUUGUGGGGUGCUCGAGUGGCGAACGGGUGAGUAACACGUGAGUAACCUGCCCUUGACUUUGGGAUAACUUCAGGAAACGGGGGCUAAUACCGGAUAGGAGCUCCUGCUGCAUGGUGGGGGGUGGAAAGUUUCGGCGGUUGGGGAUGGACGCGCGGCUGAUCAGCUUGUUGGUGGGGUAGUGGCUUACCAAGGCUUUGACGGGUAGCCGGCCUGUGAGGGUGACCGGCCACAUUGGGACUACGGUACGGCCCAGACUCCUACGGGAGGCAGCAGUGGGGAGUCUUGCCCAAUGGGCGGAAGCCUGAUGCAGCAACGCCGCGUGCGGGAUGACGGCCUUCGGGUUGUAAACCGCUUUCGCCUGUGACGACGCGUGAGUGACGGUAAUGGGUAAAGAAGCACCGGCUAACUACGUG